rnacentral:lncRNA from 1 species
CCAUAUUCCUAGGUGAGGACAAAGAAUAGGAAUGUCCUGGAAGCAAGGAUGACAGGGUUUCAUCCAUAUAUCAAACAUCUACCAAAUUCUAGGCACCAUAUGCAUCCAUCGUCUAAUCUAAUCCCCACAAAACCUCACUGUGGUAGGUAUUAUUAUCUCCAUUUUCAGAUAGGAAUGUGAAAUUUAUCAAGAUUAAGCAAUUUCCCAACUGCAGUGGUAUUUGAAAACAGGACUCUGAUAUCUAAGCUGUGUUUUUUGCCAUAUACAUGGCACACACCCCACCAAAGUGCAGGAAGACAAACCUAGAUGGAAAAAUUGAGAUCUCUGAAAACGUCCUAAGUUCCCCAGGAUGAAAAUAAUGAUAGCCUCAAUUUCCUUGCACCACACACAUCUAUAUAUACGCAUACGUAUAUACACAUAUAUGUGUAUGUAUGCCAAUUAUAUAAAUAUAAUUCAAAUUUAUAAAAUUAAACAUCAUAUAUAUACAUAUAUGUAUGUAUAACUUCAUUUGCUCUUCCCAACCACCCCCUCAGACAUUAUUCUUAAGUCAUAGAUGGAGACACUGACACCAAGAGGGGGUCAGUUACAUGCUCAAGUUUACACAAUGCCUAACCAAACUGGGAUCUAACCCAGAUCUGUCUGACUCCCCAUCCCCUGGGCCUUCUACCACACUACUCUGUCUUUCCCAAGGAGUGAAAUCUCCCUCUUUCAUUCCUUUCAACUGGAGACGAAGGUAAACUAGCUAAACUUAAAGUACAAAGAGGCCAAGAGCAAUGUGUUACUCCAUGCUUUCAAAUACUUGCAUUUUGUGCCACCUGGAUGCGCGGUGGGUUUUGACAGGCAAAAAUCACUGUGAAAGUUGGUGAUGUGAAAACCACGAGCAGCAGGCAAACUCUUUCCCAAAGCCCAUGGAACCCCUGCGAGCCAAUUCCAAACCAUGGACUCGCCCCCUUUCCUUUCAACUCAGGCUAUUCCAUUGGUCUGACUCACUAACGCCCACCUGGAGAAAGAAAUGACAGAACUGGAGAGAAUGUGGCAUGAAUACUGAGGUCCCUAUGUUUUAAUUUGCCUAAAAAUCUGUGUGUUGUUAAAACAAAUGUAGAAAUUAGCCAUAUGGGAACCUAGCCUGGGUACAUAUCUUCAUCUGUCACCACAUUUGGGGGGGGAAACACUGCAGAAUCAUCGUAGUGCUUAAGCUUGUAGAGAGGGAGAAAAGUCCACUUGGAAGCAAACUAAUACUGAACACAUGUUUAUGCUUUUGACCUCACAAUAUGGUAACUAAUGACGGUUCUGCAAAUAGACUUGGGAAAAUAAAUGGGUGAUUGCAGAGGGGAGAACCCCGAGGAGGGUGAUGAGCUUCAUUUCACCUCCGUUAGCCCUUAAUUUUUAACAGGACGGCAAGCACAAAUUCCGUACAGCCUGCCUAAAUAGACGAAAUCGGCGCCUUAUUCGGAAUUCAAAUCUUAGACCCGUGCAUGUAAUGCGGUGCCUUAAUAGGUUUCCAAACUCUCAUUUGGCCUCAGUUAUACAACCAGCUGACACUGAAAAUAAUUAAUGCCCUUUAGGACUCGCAUCUGCUCCUAUGGUUCCAAGUCAAGGUUUUUAAUUGGGCUAUUUUGGCAUUUGGAGACAAUGGCAAGGUGAAAUAACCUUUCUUUAAUAUUUUUGAGGUCAGCAGAUAGUCUUGCCAAAGGUCAUCCUUCAGGUUCACAAAUGAGUCAUUUGUAUCACCUAAUGCAAUCUGUGACUUGCAAAUUGCACUGGGAUGUGUUAGCGUGCAUUAAUUAGUCCAUGUGAUGAAUACGGAAUUCAUCAUUACUAGCCAGAGCUUGUAGAGAUGUGCCAAUACUUGUUUUGGUGGUUUGUGGUGGCUUAUUUUUAUUUUACACGCCACUUCCAAGCCUGGUCUGAGAUCUUCAACACCCCUGGCUCAAUAAUUGGCACACUAAACAAGUUAACCCUCUCUCUAAGGCACAGCCAGGAACUGCAGAAAGAUACACUGGCAUAAAAAUAUUACAAAGCAGGAAGCAACCACAGAUUCCUUGUCUUUGGUUUGUUGAAUCCAUAACUCAGCAUUAAAAGAUGAUUCUUUCUCCUCCACUGCUAACCUAGAGGGAAAGACAGAGAGAGACUCUUGUUUCAAACCCUUUGCUCAGAGCAAUGCCCAGAGUUGCACUGGGUCCUCUCAGCUGCUUGGCAGCUAUUGCCUAUAAUGAAGGCAUUAUUAAUUUCAGUUUCAGGAGACAGAAAAUCAGGAUGUGGACACUGUAUGGCUAUACCAUCUGUGCAGUUGACAUAUAUUGAUUCAU